UACGUAGGGUGCAAGCGUUGUCCGGAAUUAUUGGGCGUAAAGAGCUCGUAGGCGGUUUGUCGCGUCUGCUGUGAAAACUCGGGGCUUAACCCCGGGCCUGCAGUGGGUACGGGCAGACUAGAGUGCGGUAGGGGAGACUGGAAUUCCUGGUGUAGCGGUGAAAUGCGCAGAUAUCAGGAGGAACACCGGUGGCGAAGGCAGCACUCUGGGCCGGUACUGACGCUGAGGAGCGAAAGCGUGGGGAGCAAACAGG
rnacentral:rRNA from 1 species